ACAGCUUUCUCAGAGAAGAACUGCACGUCUAUUGCGGAGUAAUUAUUAAUGCUCCUUUCUUCAUAACCAAUUAUACUAAGCCUAGAUAAUAUUACCAGUUCCUGGCUGCAAAAAACCUUCCAGCGAAAAAACCAUCUUGAUCUCAACACUGAAUCCAGGGCAGAAAAAAUGGCCGACCCUGUUAUCGGUGCAACAAUUCGGGUCACCUUGGAAGCGGCACUGUGUCUUGCCUCUGAUGGGAUUGGCAGGUUACUUGGGUUCAAGAAGGAUGUGGCCAGCAUUAAACGAUCUCUUGAAUUUAUCACUGGUGUCUUGGCUGACGCUGAAGCAAAGCAAAAUCAGGACGGAGCAGUGCAAGAAUGGUUGAAGAGUCUCGAGGAGGUCGCUUAUGAUGCUCGCAACGUGUUGGAUGAGCUCCGCUAUGAGUCUCUUCGUCACCAGGUGGAGUCCCGAAACCAACACAAGCUCAAGGUAUGCCGCUUCUUCUCCUUCUCUAAUAUUAAUCUUGCUUUUCGUUGGAGAAUGGCUUCCAAGGUCAGGGACAUCAACCUUGAGUUGAAUAAGAUAAAUCAAGAAGCCGAUGGAUUGGGACUGGUCAGAAGGCCAGUCUUGACGGCUGCCCUCCCUGCUGCUCCUGCUGUUGGAGACGCAAGAAAUCGGCAGACUGACUCUGUUCUUGUUCCAAUAGUUGGAAGAGCAGAUGAUGAAUCAAAUAUAGUGAAGAUAUUGUUGAUCCCGUCUAAGAAGGUUGUUUCUGUUCUUCCCAUAAUUGGCAUGGGAGGUCUAGGCAAAACAACUUUGGCUAAAUUGAUAUACAACAAUCAGCAAAUUGAUGCGCACUUUAACCAAAAGAUUUGGGUUUGUGUAUCGAAAAAAGUUCCAAUAAUGGAGCUUUUCAAACUCAUUUUAUUGCAAUUGACGGAAGAAAAGGUUGAGGUGGAAAAUAGGAAUGCCAUCGUUGGAAAAAUUGGGAACCAACUAGGGGCAAAAAGAUAUUUCCUAGUCCUUGAUGAUGUGUGGGAUGAUGAUGAGGCAUUGUGGGAUGACUUUUUCACCACCUUGAAGGGGCUCAAUCCAACUAAUGGAAGCUGGUGUCUGGUCACUACUCGUGUAGUUCCAGUGGCACAUAGUGUGUCUAGAGUUUUGAUGAUGGAAAAUGAAUCCUAUCCAUUAGGAAAACUACCUGACUAUCAUUGUUGGUCUAUCGUAAAAGAAAAAGUACUUGGAGGGGAAGAAGAACCUGAUGAACUAAAAGCAAUUCAAGAGACAGUAAUCAAAAGAUGUGAUGGUCUACCAUUGGCUGCAAGUGUAAUCGGAGGUCUAUUAUCUUUAAAGAGAAAAGAGGAGUGGGAGUCGAUUUUGGAGAAUAGGCUUUUGAGUUUGAGUGCAGGUGGAGAUCAUGUGAUGCAAAUACUUAAGUUUAGUUUUGAUAAUUUGCCAUCUCCAUACAUUAAGAAAUGUUUUGCAUAUUGUUCUCUAUUUCCUGAGAACACUGAGAUGAAAGGAGAUAUGCUAAUCGAACUUUGGAUGGCAGAAGGUUUCCUCCAAGCAGACAUCAGCAGCCAAAUGAUGAUGGAGGAAAUUGGAAUGAAUUAUCUGAGAAUUUUAUUGCAGAGUUCGUUGAUUGAAGAAAUAAGAUAUGAUUUUGGGGGAACAUAUUAUAGGAUGCAUGAUUUACUACACCAAUUUGCACAGUCAAUGUCAAGGUCUACCAGUAAUCUGGUUCAUGAACUUGCAAUGGACUCAUAUGCAGUAGACUCGUUUGGAAAACUUUUUGAGAGUCUAUCAACUUCGCUUCGUACAUUGUUUGUAAGAAGCAGCAGCUUAUCUGGUGAUAUGCUAAUGAAGUUGAAGAAUUUGUAUGUUCUGAAUUUGUCUCAUACAAGAACUCGAGAGCUACCAGUCUCAAUUGGCAAACUAAUACAUUUGCGGUAUGUUAACCUUUCAUGGUCUUACAUCAGCAUUUUGCCAGACUCCCUUUGCAAGCUUUACAAUCUGCAGACAUUGACGCUAUGUGAAUUAGAUGUUAAAGAUCUUCCGAAGGGGAUGUGCGAUUUGAUUAGCUUGAGACAUCUCCACUAUUACACAGGGGAUGAAGAAUUUCAAAUGCCGCCAAAGAUGGGACGGCUGACUUGCCUUCAGACAUUAGAGUUCUUCAACGUGGGUCAAGAGAAAGGUCGACAAAUUGGAGAGCUUGGAUUCUUGAAAAACCUCAAAGGCAAGUUAACUAUACGCAAUCUUCAACGGGUAAAGGAUAAGGAGGGAGCUGAGGAAGCAAAACUAUUUGAAAAGGCAAAUCUAUUUAGGCUGGAACUUUGGUGGGCCCGUGAUCGAGAAAGCGACAACUACAACGACGAAGAUGCGUUAGAUGGCCUUCAACCCCACCCAAAUUUGGAGGAGUUGGUAAUUUGGUAUUUUAUGGGCGAUCAAUUUCCUCGAUGGUUAAUGGAUUUGCCAACAGCAACAACACUCCCCAAGUUAGUGCGUUUGGAGUUUAAGUUCUGCAACAGAUGCAGAGAACUCCCUCCCCUGCAAAACUUUAUGUCUCUUAAAGAGCUGAGGAUUUAUGAUUGUGAUGGGUUGACGAAUCUGCCCGGCGACAUGCUACACUCUUGUGCCUCUCUCCAGAAGCUUACGGUGUUUGGUUGCUCCAAUCUUAUCUUCUUUCCGCUUGAUUUGCAACAAACGCCUUCUCUCUUGGAGCUGGAAUUAUCCUACUGUCCCAGACUGAAAACAAGCAUGACGCCCAAAGGAUUUGGUUUCCUAACCAGCUUAAGGGAGCUUACAAUUGGUCCCUUCUCAGAUGAUGGUGAUGAUCAUGAAAAUUCUUCAAUUUACAAUGAGUUUGAUUGGUCUGGAUUGAUAUCCUCCUCCUCAAUUUACAAUUCUUCGUCAUCUGGACUCCGUCGAUUAGACUUAUUUGGGUUGCCACACAUGGAGUCCCUGCCACAUCAGAUCCAAUACUUGACCACUCUCACGUCACUAGCACUACUUGACUUCAGAGGUAUAAAAGCUCUGCCAGAUUGGUUCGGAAACUUAGCUGCUCUUGAAGAACUGCGUUUAUAUAAUUUCAAAGAGCUUGGACAUUUACCCGCUGAGGAUGCCAUGAGAAGUCUCACCAAACUAAAAGAUCUGCGGGUUUAUGGUUCUCCUCUGUUAAAAGAAAGAUGCACUCCUGAAAGCAGCGGCCCCGACUCCCAGUGGUCCAAAGUUUCUCACAUUCAAUACCUACGCCUAAGUGGUUAACAGUUCAUCUUCAGAUCAAAUUCAAUCAUGCCCAAAGUUUGACGGAAAAGCUCCAUUAGCUCUUAAUUACUCAUUGAAUUUCAUAGCCAGUAUCUUGGAGAAUCAUGUUGAAUCGGAUCCUAUUUCUGUUGGACAGCAAUGUUUAUGACGGCACUCUUUUCCUUUGUCUUGGUGCCCCAUAUAGCAAACACCUGAUAUCUUUAUUGUCAGACCUUGCACUCUGUCAAUUUGCCUUUUUAGUCAUGAUGUCCGGCAAAAGUUUUCUGUCUGUAUUUUGAUUGCUUAAUGACUGUCAGCUAGGCCAUACGAGCUGCUCAGAAAAAAUUUCUUGCCCCAACUCAUCUGAUGUUUUUAAAGAACCAUCGUUACCGUGACUUUGUAAUGACCGUUAUUGGCAGUUUGAUGACCAUUACUAGAGAAGCAGUUUGAUGACCAUUACUAGAGAAGCAGAUUGACCAUUGCAGGUUUUGCUAACUUUCAAGAAUUACCCCCAGGAACAAGCUUAAAUGAGAUUUUAAAUCUGAGGGCUUUCAUCAAACUAAGAUGGAAACUAAAAUGAUCAAGCUACAAAAAUUGGAAGUUUGAAGGGUUUGCUUCCGAGGAUGUUGUCUACCAACCUAAUAGCAAGGAUUUGAAAGGAUUUCAGUGUGCUUCUUCAAACUGAUUGUAGGUUGCAUUCAGAGAUCUCAAUUGUUGACUGUAUUCUCUUGUAAGCUGAUUUAACCAUGGAGAUAAAUUGGCAGCUGGAGGAAUGACGCAACUACUGAAUUUUAGUUUGUUCAAGGCUGAAGUCUGCUUUGCUGAACUUUCCUCGUCUUAGGCAGUCUUAAAAUUUUCUAACUGCUGUCAGCAAAGAAAUCACUAGCACAUACCAUAAUGUCAAGACACACUCAUAGCGCAUAAAAUACACAUCAUGGCUCUCAUUUAAUACUACUAGCUCCUCCUCAAGAGACCGAAUUCAUCAUCAAUAAAAAAAAAUUUUUUGGGUAUAAUUUUGGCUUUUUCAGGGGUCUCUUCCCGAUGUAAAGGAUCCAUCUGAUGAGCAUUUUGGUAUUUUGGUUCUGGCAUAUAGUUCCACUUCACUUUUAACCUUUGGCUCCUCAGUUACAAAAUGCAGAUAUUUAACAGAUUAUUUGGUUUGGAAAGUCAAGCACAAUAUGGUGGCUAAAGACUAUUAGUAGUUAGUUUGAUAUCUUUGCUAUCUUUUAAUAUAGAGUAGAAGUUUAUAUUUGUUCAUGGCAUAUGUCUGCUACUGUGAUUUGUACAUUGAUUCCUAAACGUGAGAUUCUGUGAGGACGAAAUACUAGCUCUUAUUUUUCACCUCUAGUAAAUGUACUCAACAUCUUAUCAUCUUGCUCUGAACUAUCUGACUCUGAUGUCUCUUAGAGACGGGGUUCGACUUAACUUUCCCUGGUUAUGAUGUCUCCACAUGAGGACAAUGGUCAAUCGAAAAUUCUCACUGCCUGCUCGGUUGUCAAAUUUGUGUUGGUAAAGGGACUGUUAAUCUAAAAUACCAAUUUUUUUUUAUAAGAAAUGUGCUUAUCUAUGAUACAAUUUUUCUUGUUCAACUAUGUAAUAUUGAGAUUUAAGCAGUUUGAUUCUCAAUUUGGAAAAAUAAAAGGAAUAUUCAAGUCAUUUUUGAGUUUGCCAAGGAAAAUAAUGCUGUUCUUGCAAUGAAGCUGCACAAACUUCGUAGAUUAUUUUUUUUACUAAAAUUUAAAUCUAACUGUGAUGAUUUGAACUUUUAAGCAUCAAAUCGUAAGGGUUGCUGCUCUCCAGGAAUUCGCCUUCAUGAAGAUUUUUGAUCUGUCUAUGCCAGUCAUGCUUGUUAGCUGCUAUAUGUUUUACUUUUUAGAUUACUCAACUGAUUUUCUUUCAAUGUUCUGGACACAAACUAGAAAAGCAUUAAUGACACUACUUGUACCUGUAGACUCAGCAGAAAGAUUUCAAAUCUUCUCUCUGAUAUAGGUUGGAAAAGAAUGACAAGAACAUGUCUUUAGCUUUCCGUCAGAUUAAUUGAACAGAGAUGCCAUGCAGUUAUCUGAAAUUUUUUCUUUUAGGUUUAUGAUCUUCUAUACACUGUCCUGAGUUUGACUUCUCCGUUUUGCAGUAGCAUUAGUCUCAAAGCUCUCCGGGGACCUCAAUACCUCUUAAUUACUGCCGCAACCCUUGAAUAUCCUCUGCUUCCUUCUUGGACCACAUCAUUUUUAAACUUGAGACAAACUUUUAGAAUGGCACUCUCUUAUGCUUUUAAGUGACACAGAUGGCCAAAGCCUGAGAUCCACAUUGUGAAAGUGGUCCCUUCAAACCAUCAAUUAGCUGUAGCUUUUGGGGUCAUGACAUGAGGUGGUAAUUCGCUGGUUAUGGACCUCAAUAUGCUUUUCUGUCUCAGACUGCUUGUCUCCCAUGUUUGCUGCAAUUUAGUUGCAGAAAAAUGUCGGUCUGUCUUGUGACCACUUAAUAUCUGUUAGCCACUGCAAGCUGCUCACCACCCUUCUUAAUUUUGCAUCUUUGCGCCAUUACAUGCAAUAUGAUUUUCUGAGUUUGCAUGUUCUCUUUUUGCAGUUAAAGUAGUAUGCCUAGAAUGAUGCUGAUACUUUAAGAUUCAUUGUUUUUCUAAAUUACUUGGUCCAUAUGAUGUUGAGUAAAUCUUUACUUAUCUUUGUAGUCUUCUAACCAAAAAUUGCAUGAAGUUGUUCUUUUCAUUUUUGUUUGGUGUCUUUCGUAGGUAUUCUGUAUCAUGAUUGAAAGUUUAAUGUACUUCAUAAACAUUACCAUCAAUAGGCAACGGUUACAUGUCUUCAUUAGAAGCUUGAGGUAAUAUCGUGUUUCAGUAGUUGAUAACCAAAUGCACAAAGUUCUUUUGGGUUUCCAAAGCAAAUUUGGCAUAAAACAGAAGUGAAGCAAAUCAACUAGUCAAGUCACAAUGUGGAAGAAGUUAAGAUUUGACUUUGUUUAUCAUGUAUACCAGCUAAUCUGUUGUACGUUAUGAUUGGUAAUAUUAGCUCACUCCCUUUAAACUCACGAAUUGCAUCAGGUUGAAAUGAUUUCUCUGACCUUUCAUCUAUUGAAAAUGCAUUUUGCAUUUUACUUUCCAUAUCACAUGCCGCAAAUUCGUGAAGCCUUUUCUACAUAUCUUUAGAUCAGCAAUUCUGACACAUUCCUUUCUUCAAUACUUUCCAAGCUGAACAUGGGUUAGAAUUUUGAAGCUUCGCUGUAUAUAUGGCUCAAUAAUUUUUGCCCUGCAUUUCCUACAAAUAGCCCAUCAACUUUUAAUAACAACUAGCUGUCCAGUUUUUGUUGAUUUUACAUAUCUGCUUCUGUGAACUGCUAAAGUUGGCUCACUCUUUUUAAUUGUGUGAUUAUAAGGGAAGGAAAUAGUUUCUCUGAACUUUUGCCUCUUGAAAAUGCAUUUACAUCUCUGAAACCUUUGAUUAGUAAUUGCUCUAUGAAUCUGAUAAAUGAUGGUAUUCUGACUCACUGUUCCUCGGGUAGUUUUUCUAGCCAUGAAGACAAUGGUCCAUUGAGGAGUUUUGGCAUCUGUUGGUCAUCACUUUUGUGUUUUGGUUCAAAAUUUCCAGUAAUUUUAGAUGCACUUGUCUUCUUUCACUACUCAAUUUUGACUUUUAACCACUUUGAUUUCUAUUUUACUACAUACCACAUGUAAAACAAAAGAUGUUCUGUCAUCAUGAAGAUAUGUUUGAGGCAGCCAAGGAAGAUGUACUGUUCAUAGAGUGAUGUUGCAUAACGCUUGGCACUUGGUAGGGUAUCUUCCAACACAGUCAAGUCUAAGCAGGAUAUUUGGAAGCAUUGCAGUAGUUAGUGGCUACUUAAGUUCUCUCUGCUUUUAUCAUUGUUUUGUUAAUGCUAAGGUUCUUCUUUCGGCACUUUGGUUAAAAUGACGAAAGACCUGCAAUUAUCUGAACAUUUCUAUUAGCUUUAUUCUACGCUACAUGCUGUUUUGAGUUUGACUUUUUGUGCUUUGCAGUGAUAUUAGGUCCAAAUCUCAGUGGGGAACCUCGUCGAUGGCUCUUACUCACUGCCUUUACUUUUCGAAAGUCCUAUGAUUCCUUUGCUGAACAAGAUCCUGGUUCAGCUCCGUGCCUGAGAUGACCAAAGCCUGAGAUUUCCAUUGGGGGUAUGGUGGCUUUCAAACUGUCCAAACUGUCCUUUGGGGGUUUGUUUGGAUAGAAUAUUAUUUGAAAUAUUAUUUAAAAUAAUUACUGUAAUUUUUUUUUAUGAUGUGAUGUAUGUGAGAUAAAAAGGUAGUUGGGAAUAUAAAAAGGUGGGUUGGGAAAUGUGUUUAUGAUACAAAACGAAAUAUUAUUUGGGAUAAUUUCACUAUCCAAAAAGGUGGGUUGGGAAAUGUAUAAAGCCUGAUUGCUUGUAUCUUGUAAAUCACAAUUUUUGUUUGGACAUAUAGGUUUAAAGGAAAAAAGAUAGAUUAGGCUUGCCAGUUGA